rnacentral:rRNA from 1 species
ACUCCUACGGGAGGCAGCAGUAGGGAAUCUUCCACAAUGGGUGCAAACCUGAUGGAGCAAUGCCGCGUGAGUGAAGAAGGUCUUCGGAUCGUAAAGCUCUGUUGUUAGAGAAGAACACGUGCUAGGUAACUACUAGCGCCUUGACGGUAUCUAACCAGAAAGUCACGGCUAACUACGUGCCAGCAGCCGCGGUAAUACGUAGGUGACAAGCGUUGUCCGGAUUUAUUGGGCGUAAAGGGAGCGCAGGCGGUCUGUUUAGUCUAAUGUGAAAGCCCACGGCUUAACCGUGGAACGGCAUUGGAAACUGACAGACUUGAAUGUAGAAGAGGAAAAUGGAAUUCCAAGUGUAGCGGUGGAAUGCGUAGAUAUUUGGAGGAACACCAGUGGCGAAGGCGAUUUUCUGGUCUAACAUUGACGCUGAGGCUCGAAAGCGUGGGGAGCGAACAGGAUUAGAAACCCUAGUAGUCCCA